CGUUAUGUGCCAGAGGAUGGGGCUGCGGCCGAUCAGGCCGUUGGCGAGGUAACGGCUCACCAAACCUUUGACCGGUACGGGCCAUGAGAGUGGUAGCCCGGAGAUGGACACUGAGAUAGGGGUCCAGGCCCUACGGGGCGCAGCAGGCGCGAAAACUCCACACUGUACGUAAGUACGAUGGGGUUACCUCGAGUGUAGUCUGUAAAAGAUUGCUUUUCCAUAGAGUAAUAUCCUGUGGGAAUAAGAGGGGGGCAAGACUGGUGUCAGCCGCCGCGGUAACACCAGCCCCUCGAGUGGUAGGGACUUUUAUUCGGCCUAAAGCGUUCGUAGCCGUCUGUAACCGUUGCCCGUUAAAUCCAGCGUCUCAAGCGUUGGACUGCGGGCGAUACCUUACAGAUUGAGGGUGGGAUAGGUAAGCGGUAUUUCUGGGGUAGGGGCGAAAUCCUUUGAUCCCAGGAGGACCACCAGUGGCGAAGGCUGCUUACUAGAACACGCCUGACGGUCAGGAACGAAAGCUGGGGUAGCGAACCGGAUUAGAUACCCGGGUAGUCCCAGCUGUAAACGAUGCUCGCUAGGUGUUGGGUCGGCCAUGCGCCGCCCCAGUGCCGCAGGGAAGCCGUUAAGCGCGCCGCCUGGGGAGUACGGCCGCAAGGCUGAAACUUAAAGGAAUUGGCGGGGGAGCAC
rnacentral:rRNA from 1 species